rnacentral:misc_RNA from 1 species
GUGAAUCAUCGAAUCUUUGAACGCAAAUUGCGCCUUUUGCUAAUGGCAUGUCUGUUUGAGUUCACCAUUUAACAAAUAAUGUGCUGCGUCGUUUGUUUCACACGUUGAUGAGCUUUCCAAGAAUUGUAUUUUUUUGGGGGCGCAUAAUGUAUAGCUUGAAAUUUUUUUUAAGAUCGAGUGAAGUAUAAUGUUUGCUUGGUUUUUGAAAAAACAUAAU